CUAUGUCUCUCUCUUCAAAGAACCAAAUCAUCGAUUGCACUACUAGAUAAAUACAAUAAAUCAUCUUACAUUUUCCAAAGGUGAGUUGCCUUGAAUACACAGAUUCUCUUUGAGAUUAAUAUAACAUCAUAUCAAAUAGGCAACACCGAAAAGGGCACCCACAAAAUAUUAAUAAAAAACUAAUGUACAAAACUCCAAAGACUAGUUUUUCUCAAUCUCCUCCAAAUUACAAUUACAACGGGAGGACCUGAGUGACACAAAACAAAUUGUAAGACUCUAGGAACCUAACAAGAGACAUGUUCAUUUUUUCAACGCCAAGUCCUUUUUUUAUUGAUCACAAGGAAUAACAACAGAAAAGACACUCUUGUUGCACGAUACCAGACUCUGAAAACAAACAUCCAUAGAUCACUUGUAUAUAUACAGAUAGUACUCUAACAGCAUGAUUAGCCCCUCUUUCCAAACAAAAAUUAGUCACCAGCUAUUUGACCUUCAUUGACUUUUAGUCCUCUACCAUCUUUUCUCUGCUUCUGUAUUAGUUUUCUCUCUUUUCUUUUAUUUUUUCUUUUGUGCAAAAAUGGAUUAUGCCACAGCAGAGAUGCUGCAGCUGCUCCUAUCUCUGUUAAGACAGUCAAAACCUUCUAUCCUCACAGCAGCUGGAGUCUGACCAAAUUUCAUUGGAACACAGCCUCGAGCUGAGGAAGAGGAUGCCUCGGUAAAUGGACUAAAAUUCCCAUUACCAAAUUGCUCAUCUUGAAUUACAGGAUUCGAGGCCCUACUUGGAGGAGAUCCACAGAAAAACGGUGGUGAUGAUGCUACCACUUGCCCUCCUGAUCUUGUCAGGUAGCAGCUUUCCUGACAAAAACAAAUCAAAGAAUAAGUCUUUGGUUAGAUUACUU
rnacentral:lncRNA from 1 species